AACGAACGCUGGCGGCGCGUCUUAAGCAUGCAAGUCGAGCGGCAAGGGGGAGCAAUCCCUCCUAGAGCGGCGGACUGGUGAGUAACGCGUGGGUGACCUACCCUAAGGUUGGGGAUAGCCAUUAGAAAUAGUGGGUAAUACCGAAUAUGGUUGCCGGGCUUUGGCCUGGUAAAGAAAGGGGCUUCGGCCCCGCCUUGGGAUGGGCCCGCGUCCCAUUAGCUUGUUGGUGAGGUAAGAGCCCACCAAGGCGAUGAUGGGUAGCCGGCCUGAGAGGGUGAACGGCCACACUGGGACUGAGAUACGGCCCAGACUCCUACGGGAGGCAGCAGCUAAGAAUAUUCCGCAAUGGACGAAAGUCUGACGGAGCGACGCCGCGUGGAUGACGAAGGCCGAAAGGUUGUAAAAUCCUUUUGUUACUGAAGAAUAAGCGG
rnacentral:rRNA from 1 species